CUGCGGAGGACAUUAUUGAUAAACUUGACGUGGUUGUAGCUGAUCUUUUCGAAGAUAUGUGCUCGCCUGUCACCUUUAUCUUUCCACCUGUGCACCUUUUGUAGACUUAGAUGUAACCUUUUUCCGAGGCAACUCGGGGUUGGGAGGAAUGGUUUUAUAAGGCUUUCCUUGGGCAUCCUAGUCUAUGUUUUAUAUACUCCAAACAUGUAACAGAAUGGAUCAUUGGGCUUUGUGCCUAUAAAACUAUAUACAACUUUCAGCAACGGAUCUCUUGGCUCUCGCAUCGAUGAAGAACGCAGCGAAAUGCGAUAAGUAAUGGGAAUUGCAGAAUUCAGUGAAUCAUCGAAUCUUUGAACGCACCUUGCGCUCCUUGGUAUUCCGAGGAGCAUGCCUGUUUGAGUGUCAUUAAAUUCUCAACCUUUAUUAGCUUUCGCAAGCUUGGUAAAGGAUUGGAUGUGAGGGCUUAUGCUGGCUUCGAAAGAUGGUCUGCUCCCUUCAAAUAUAUUAGCUGGUGCCCGUGCGGAACCGUCUAUUGGUGUGAUAAUUAUCUACGCUAUUAAACAUCUGCAUUAAAUGGGUUAUACUGCUUCUAACUGUCCAUUUAAUUAAACAAUACAUGACUAUUUGACCUCAAAUCAGGUAGGACUACCCGCUGAACUUAAGCAUAUCAUAAGCGGAGGAAAA
rnacentral:sRNA from 1 species